GACGGCUCCGCCCCCCCCCACUCCCCACCACCCCCACGGGGAGGGUGAAGCUGUGGAAAGCAGCGGCGCUAUCCCAUCAUGCACCACGCCCCCCCCAUAGACAGGUUUCCUCUCUAAAUAAUCACCAAUUAGUCCCAUUCAAAAAUAAAAAAUAUAUAAAAAAAGGAAAGGUGGUUGGCAAGGAUAGAAAGGGCUCAGCUAAUUUAAGUACAGCAUUAUCAGAAUAGCCUGAAUGAGGCAAAUUACUGAGAUGGAUCACACGACCAA